rnacentral:lncRNA from 1 species
GUCUCUGCGGAUGUAAACCUGGCCCCGUUUCCCUCUUGCUCAGAAUCGUAUGGCUCCGAGUGUCUGUGGGAGAAGGCCAGUUUCUUUACCAUAGUUUUCAAGGCCAUACAUAGUUUGGAUACUCCCUAUGAGGUGCUGAGAAUGGAAGCCAGAAAAGGGCUAGUGUCAGGCAGAUGCUCUACCACUGAGCCAACUCCCCAGAUCCGAGCUGGAAUUACAGGUGUGUGCCUCCGUUCCUUUUCUCUGAUUUGAAUAAAGGACCUGAUGAUGUGGCACACUUUUAAUUCUUGCAUUAAAGGGAGGCAGAGGCAGCCGUGUUUCUGAGUUUGAAGCCUGAUCUUUAUAGCAAGUUUCAGGUCACACAGGGCUAUAUAGUGAGACUGUCUUAAAGGAAAAAAGGAAAAGAACUACAAUCUCCUGUUGAGGCACAGGUGGAAAAUAAGUUUCCUGGAAGGCCCAGCUGGCCCUCUGCUGGGCCAGGCAUUCAAGGUCAUCACUAUGGAGUGCUGGGCUGUCCUCUACAUUGACCUGUGAGCCUUAGUGGGUGGAGCUUGAGCUUUGGGGACUGGGCGUCUGCUGGUCCGCGUAUUAAAGGAACACACCCAUAUGGACUCCUGCUCCAUCUGAGCCCAGAGGGAGCACAGCCAGGGAGCACAGCCAGGGAGCACAGCCUGGUGGUAAGAGUGGGUUCAGUUGGUUUGUUUGCCUCUAAUGUUGGGGGUGGAACCUAGAGAUUAUCCAUGCCAGGUAAAUGCUCCACUCAGCCUGGAUUUAGCAUCUCAGGAAGAUUCUUUGAGUAUGGCUCACAGAACCAAGAGUUAGGGGAAACUGACUGUGGAUAAAUGAAUAAAGAAGCUGUGGGAGAUAGCUCAGUGGUUAAAACACUUGCUACAGAAGCAUGAGGACCAGUUCACACGGUGGCCUGCCUGUCGCUCAGCCUCAGGAAGGCAGAGACUGGUUCCGUGGAUCAAGCUGACUAGCGAGAUCAGCCCUGUCAGCUAGCUUUGAGUUUGAGCGAGAGGCCCUGGCUUAGUGAACAAGGUGGGAGAGUAUCGGAGGAUGAGCCCUGACACCUGCCUCAGGCCUCCACAAGCAUGUGCACCUACACAUGCCCACAUUCGUGCAAACAUGCACACACGUGAAAGUGGAAAAAGGAAAGUGACUGUACGUACACAUCCAGUGUGGAGCACAAAGCCAGUGGCACACUGGGAGCAGAGGCAGCAAGAGCUCUGUGAGUUCCAGGUUACAGUAAGUUACAUGGUGCGACCCUUUCGUCCCCCUCCAUCUCACACACACACACACACACACACACACACACACACACCAGACAGACAGUAUGGCUGGCUUCUGCAGGCCAGGUGAAGCAGACACAGAGAGUGGCAGUUGUUGGCUGGGUGAGGAGAGAGGGGUGAUCUUCAGGACAGAGAGUUUGCACUUUGGAAGACGAGGCCAUUGUAGAGAUGGGAAGCAUAGUUCACACAGAGAAGUGUGUGUUAGUUGAUACAUACACUGCACUCAAGCCGUUAAGGGCUGGGCUGGGCUGGGCUGGGCAUCAGUCAAGGAGAGCACUUGCCUGGUGUGAGCGAGGCUCUGGGUUUAAUUCCCAGUGCAACAAAGAAGUUAAAAUGACAAUAGUUGAGCAUAGAUCCUAUCCUAUGUUAGGUACUUUUUUAGCAUAGUAACAUUUAUCCUAACAUUGGAAAAAAUAAGCAAAAGGUAGAAAGGAGUCAGGCCUGUCUGCAGUCGGUCUGCCCAAUGCUGGGGUGAUCGAUUUCAAUGCAGGCCUUGUGGCUUUGUCUUCUGUCCUUAUGUGGGGAUGGCGUCUUUAGAAUUGCAGAGAUUGAGCUGGGGACGUUCUCACAGACAGUGCUGUUUGUGAGAGCCAGGCUGUUAGGGCUCCUUGACUUUCCACAGUGUCACUCCCCUCCAAGCCCCCAGGCAUGCCCUGGCCUGGGGACACUUUACUUGGGCUCUGUGCCUGUAACUUCUGAGAUGCAGAUCCCUCCAGGGGCUCUCACACACUUGCCAGACUCCAUGCUGCACCUGGCAGUCCCUAGAGUCCUGGCCUCAAGGCCCUGUGGCCUGAGGAACUAAAGAAGGCAGGCAGAUGCACCGCAGCCCCGGGACUUGAUUCCACAGCCACCCAGCUGCACCCUGUCAGCUUUUUCACUGUGAACUCAAGAGUCUUGACAGUCCAGUAACCCGCAGAGUCAGAUGAGCAGGGUACCAGCUGUGCUCACUGUGGGUCUUUGCAGGGGCCUGCAUUCACUCUGGGGGGGUGAGAGGGUGGGGGACAGACAAUGAUAUGGAGCUGGGGUGUCUAGAGUGUGAGUACCUUGGCCACUGGCAGGCUGUGGCUUCUAAGAGCUGAGUCUUCUGUCAGAGAGGAUUCUUUUACCUGAUUUAUAGGCCCUGAGAGUCCUUUAGGGACCAGGCCCUGGGGACCGACACAGCAGUGAGCAAAACAGAUCCCUGUCCCCUGGGAGUGCUUCAUGUUCUUGAGGGAGGCAGGUGGUGAUGGAGGUAGCUGAGCUAGAAUAGCAGGCGCUGGUUGCUGCCCUGAAGAAAACUAGAGGACCCAAGGCACUCGCAUGGGGUUGCUUGGGGAGCUCUAGGGGAUGUGAGGUAAUGGAGUAGCCCUACUAAGAGGGAGCCACAGCGUAGAGGCCCAUUAGCCUGGACCAGGAGAGCAGAGGAACAUCAGGCUGACACCCAGGGGGUGCUUGGGAGAGGAGGGUCAUGGCUUUGAGGGACAAGGAAAGCACUGCAGAGAGCCAAGGAAAAGAUGGCCGCGACAGCAGGACCCAGCCAGAGCAUGUGCUGGGACUCUGGCAGAACUGUCCCCUAUGGAGCAGCAUAGAGCCCCUCCUGUGGCCCUCCCCGGUACAGGUGGUGUGACCCCAGUCACCGGCAGAGCAGUGCAGUUGUGCUGUCCCCGCAUGGUUUAUACUAUACAUGAUGCUUUUGUCCUAAUAUGGCUUAAGGGUUUGUAACCUUUCCCCAGCCCCAGGACUCAGGCUUGAGAUGACGGACGGGGAGGCUCCUAAGUAGGUGGCCUUUUUUGGGCUGGUUUUGUUUGGUUUGUUUUUGUUUUAUGUAUGUGUGUAUAAGACAGGAGGUGGUAGUAGUCAUCUUUAAUCCUGGCACUCAAGAGGCAGAGGCAGGUGCAUCUCAUUCAAGGCCAGCCUGGUCUACAGAGUGAGUUCCAGGACAGCCAGGGCUACACAGAGAAACCCUGUCUCG